GCACUCGCAGCCUAAUUUAGGCUGAGACGUCGUUCCACCUGAGGCCCGCGGGGGUGGAAUGGCGUGAUGCAGCGGGCUGGUCCAAAGUCGGUGCUCAGCGGCUGCGGACGAGAACUUUCUGGGCUAGCGGCUGUUCUAAGCCUGCCGACGGGCGUGGAUGGCUGCGAAACUUAAAUUGUCGGCUACACAUGUAGACACAGUGCACUGACGAUCUUCGGACAGGGGUUCAACUCCCCUCGCCUCCACCA
rnacentral:tmRNA from 1 species